rnacentral:rRNA from 1 species
AUUGAACGCUGGCGGCAUGCUUUACACAUGCAAGUCGAACGGUAACAGGCCGCAAGGUGCUGACGAGUGGCGAACGGGUGAGUAAUGCAUCGGAACGUGCCCAGUCGUGGGGGAUAACGCAGCGAAAGCUGCGCUAAUACCGCAUACGAUCUAUGGAUGAAAGCGGGGGACCGUAAGGCCUCGCGCGAUUGGAGCGGCCGAUGUCAGAUUAGGUAGUUGGUGGGGUAAAGGCUCACCAAGCCAACGAUCUGUAGCUGGUCUGAGAGGACGACCAGCCACACUGGGACUGAGACACGGCCCAGACUCCUACGGGAGGCAGCAGUGGGGAAUUUUGGACAAUGGGCGCAAGCCUGAUCCAGCAAUGCCGCGUGCAGGAAGAAGGCCUUCGGGUUGUAAACUGCUUCUGUACGGAACGAAAAGGCUCUGGAUAAUACCUGGGGCUCAUGACGGUACCGUAAGAAUAAGCACCGGCUAACUACGUGCCAGCAGCCGCAGUAA